rnacentral:lncRNA from 1 species
CUGAGUAAGCUAGAACUGCUGGGCCGGCCUGUGCAGGUUGUUCUGGCUUUUAAUCGUUUCCAGUGAUUGAAAAGCCCAGGCUACCAUCCCUCCAAAUAACUCCAGUGCUAACUCAAACCUCAUAUUCACCAUUCACUUUCCGGCAGCUUAGAACCUACCGGGGCGCAGGACGUAGUUUUCGUCUUUACCAGAGUGCGUGGCCGGGCGCGGUGGCUCACACCUGUCAUCCCAGCAUUUUGGGAGGCCCAGGCGGUCGGAUCGCCUGAGGUCAGGAGUUCAAGACCAGCCUGGCCAACGUGGUGAAACCCUGUCUCUACUAAAAGCACAAAAAUUAGCCAGGCGUGGUGGUGGGCGCCUGUAACCCCAGCUACUCGGGAGGGUGAGGCAGGGAGAAUCGACUGAACCCAGAGGCAGAGGUUGUAGUGAGCCGAGAUCAUGCCACUGCACUCCAGCCUGGGCAACAGAGUGAGGCUCUGUCUCAAAAAACAAAACAACAACAACAAAACAAAAAAAGAGUGAGAGGACAAAACAGGUGUAUAUUCCCAUUUUAUAGAUGACAUAACUGAGGCCCAAAGAAGGAAAGUGACUCACUCAGUGUCACAGUAAAUCCACGGCAGGACCAGGGCCAGAACAAAAGUCUCCUGAGUGGCACUCUUCACUAUCACAUAACACUGUGGCUCGCAACAGCCCUGGAAGCAAAGCCAGUUGGGGUCACCAGGCACCUAGACCCUCACUGCUUGUCUGCUGGCAGAGAGCCGCUCCUUCUUGUCAGAGUAAGUAGGAAGGAGGCCUUUGCCUGUGCGGACCUAUGGUCUGGUGACUCCAGCCAGCACAAACCCAUCCCCUGAUGGUUGGAGGCUGGGCAAGGGCUUCUUGCAAGAUGCGCCUGACAGUGCCUUGUUACAGAGCACCUGCUGUGCUUAGCAUUCCACCCGGGGCCAAGAGGCUGUGUGAGCAGGUGACAGCCAGCCUGGCCCCGCCUGUCACAAGCUGCUAGGUCUGCACCCUUGCCACCCAUGGCAGGGGGUCUGACAAAGACUCCCCAUUUGUGAGGUCUGUUCACUGCCUGUAUUUCGAACAGGGCCUGGCUCUGCAAACCUGUGCAAACUGUGUUGAUAUAGGAGCCGACAUGAGCAAGCAGAGGCUCCCCUGGCUCAGGCAGCCCCAGGUUGGGUUGGCCAGACAGCAACCAGGCACAGGGGCCAAGUGCAGGUCCUGCUACCCAGCCACCACAGCUUCCUCUCACCUGAUUCUCACAGCAACCCAGGCAGGAUAGGCAGGGUGGGGUUAUCUUAUUUUGCAGAAACAGGCUUUCCCAAGUCUGUCACCAAGUGAGGGGUAGAGCUGGGUGUCCAGCCAGAUCUAACCUCCAGCCCAGAGCUGGUGAUGCGGAAAAUCAGGGCAGAUGGCAGCAGGAUCUAAAAUAGGGAGGGAAGAAGUCCUCAGUUACGUAACAGCGAGGAGACUCUCAGCCUACGCACAGUAGCAACCAUGGGGUCCUGCCACUCGAGCCAGACCCUCCUUCCCUUCCCGUUUUGGGCUCUAAGUGCUGCCCCCUGUGAGAGAAUGUGCUGGAGGAGCCCCCAGUAUCCUUCCAGCGGGAAGUCGGCUCUGUCAAGGCCAUUCCCGAGAGCAGGCUCUAGGAAUUCAAAGACCAAGCAGGCAGAGCUGGAUUCUGGAGCUGCCCUCAAAGGGCUUGAGGGUUAUAUGAGCGCCGUGCUUGAGAAGUUAGUGAUGAUUUCUGCUCAAAGAGACAGAGCAAGAGGGCUGAGGGGCUCUGGUGCUCUGGGGGAGAUGAAACAACCCCACAGUAUAUGAGGCCUCUCUGGUGUGUGCGGGCACUAAGGAAGGGUGACUUGCGAGUGGCGCAUUCGGAGGCACGGGGUGGGCAGCUGUUGAGCAAGGGACCAGGGCUGGGACAGGCUGCCAGGACCCCCACAACCCCAGGGGAGGAAAGGGGACUCAGCCAUCAUCAUGCCUGACUCCCAGGCUCCCGGAUGAGGAGCCUGCUAGCCAGGGCUUGAAGCCCUCCAGUGACAGGGGGUGCAUUACUUCCUAAGAAGCCAUUUCCUUGGUUCAGAAACGUUUAUCCAAAGACUGAGCCGAAAUCUACCACCUCACUUAAUGUUUUUGGCACCUGGUUAUGACCCAGACCUGCACAGAAUAAUUUAACUCUUCUGAAAUAGACUUCCAGAUAUUUGGAAGUGGCCAAGUCAGGUUUAAGAGCUCAGGUCUCCCAUUUGACAAGAUUUCCAUCUCCUCGCUGUCUGAACAGGUUUCAGCUGUGGUUAUCCAAUCCCUCAUUCUUGAUGACACACACCAGGCUGAAUGGUCUUUAGAGUUCCCCUCAAGCCGCCAAGCGCUCUGAGACAGGUUUACUAGCUUUGGUGAGAUGCUGACACUCCUCACAUGCACGUGCCCCUCCCAACUACUCAAGUGAGUUCGUGGCAAAUCUCUCAUCUGAUCUGCAUAAACGGAUUAUAUCUUAGGCGGUGCCAUUGUCUGCAUUUUACAAAUAAGGAAACUGAGCCUCAGGGAGGUGAAGUCAUUUGCCCAAAAUCACAGAGCCAGGAAACGAGAGAGCCAAGAUCCAGACCCCGCAAGAUCCAGACCCCACAAGAUCCAGACCCCGCAAGAUCCAGACCCCUCAAGAUAUAGACCCUGCAAGAUCCAGACCUCACAAGAUCCAGACCCCACAAGAUCCAGACCUCGGCUAUCUGGCUUCUCUUUUUUUUGCGACAGAGUCUCAAUCUGUCACCCAGGCUGGAGCGCAGUGGUGUGAUCUCAGCUCACUGCAACCUCUGCCUCCCAGGUUCAAGCAAUUCUCCUGCCUCAGCCUCCCGAGUAGCUGGGAUCACAGGUGUGCGCCAUGCCUGGCUAAAUUUUUUUUUUUUUUUUUGUAUUUUUAGUAGAGAUGGGGUUUCGCUAUGUUGGCCAAGCUGGUCUCGAACCCCUGACCUCAGGUGAUCCACCUGCCUCGACCUCUCAGAGUGCUGGGAUUACAGGCGUGAGCCACUGCACCCAGCCCCAUCUGACUUCUAUACCCGCAGCCCCUUCCUUUACCCUCAGGCUGCCUCAGUCUCCACACUGGGGCCCAGAGCUGGGCUGGACUCAGCGCAGUCAGAACCUCGCCUUGCACGUGGCGAAGGAGCGGCAGGCAGGCAGGCAGGCAGGCAGGCAAGCAGGACAGCCAGCUUCCUCCUAGUCCGCAGUUUCGCGGAGCAGCCUGGAAAGGGAGGCCCAGGCUUCCCUGUCUCGUCGCACGUGUGUCUGCAGUGUCUGUGCUAUCUCCCAGGGGCCUGGAUGUCGAUGGAAUGCCUGAGGGUGGAGAGAGCUGUGGCUGAGGCCUACCCUGGCGGCCUCAGCAUCUGUGGAGAUGUGUAGAGACAGGGAGAGUGAAUGGGGACCAACCUCAGGAGAUGCUGGGUCCCAGAAGCACCAUGUGCUUCUCCUUUGGUGAGACUUAAUUACUCUCUAAAAUGUAAGGCUACUCCCACUUAUCAAAUUAUAGAUGAGUUUAAUUACAGCACACUGAGUAACCACACUGGGCUCCUUCAGAAAUAGCAGCAGGCUGGUUGCUCUUCUCAGCUUCAGCUGUAGCCACCCCAGUUUCAGGAGGAAGUGCCCGUGGUUCCUGGGGCCUGGAAGUGCCGCUCAACUCUGCUGCCAGACAAGUGCGGGCGUGGUGGACUGCACUGGGUACACUGCUGUACCGGCCACCACCCUCCGGCCACUCUCAGCCGGUGAGUGCUCUGCGGGGCCAUCUGGCCACGUGUUCUGUGACUGGGUCAUUUACUCUGCUGCAACCUCUCUUUCUCCUACCUACAUCGUGUUCUGGAUAAAGGUUUUGGCUCAUAAUGUCCGACCAGAGGUGGACAAAGUGGUGUGGGACCUGCCGUAAGAAACAGGGAGCAUGGUGCGGGGAGAGAAGCCUGUGCCUUAUGGAGACUCGGGGCACCUUCAGGAAGCAGGGUCAACAGCAGCAGGCCGCUAGGGAGUCGGGAGAGCUCGGUGAUGUCACGAGGGGCAUCAGACUCUUCCCUGCAGGCUGGCGGGACUGAUGGGCUCUCGUUCCAAUGGAGGUACAAUGGGACUUCCGGGGCUGUGAUGGGAAGGGCGGAGGAGCUGCCGAUGGUCCCAGUGCCAUAUUAGUGUCACAUUCUGAGGGGCAGCCCUGUGCCGGACGGCAGCUGCUACCUCUCCCUCUGCCCCUUUAUUACUUGAAUCUCUUCGUUGUGCCCUGUCUAGGCACGGUCGUCCGACAGCAGGCAGCCCACUGCCCUCCCAGAGCUCACUGUCUAGCCCAGGGUGACACAGGGUAACCGUGGGCAUGACUUGGGCCGGGAAGUGAGAGGCUCGAUUCCAUCACAUGUAAAUAAAAAUACUCAUUUUCAAUCUAA